CGGAUUUUUGACCAUUUCUUGAGGAUUUCACUCAUUUAAGUGUUCUAAAGGUUAGAAACUUCAUCCUUGAUACAUGGUUAGUGUAGUAAGUUUUAUGCUUUAGAGUUAGAGUAAUUUGUGAUUUUUAGAAUAAGGUACAAUGGAGAAAUUUUUCAUUUAUAUUAAUGUGUAUAGGAAAUAUAAGCCUAACUUUUUUUAGAGCUCAAUAUUUAUUUUUUUUAAAUAUAUGCACCAUUUUGUAUAGGAAAUUGUAGAAAAUCAUGUUAACUUAGAAAAAAAUUCUUGAAAUAGCUAGAACUUAUAUAAAAUCAUGUUAAUUCUUAGAAAUGUAUGAAAAUAAGUAAAAAUUACAUCAUGUCAAUUUAGAAAUUACGUACUAGUCUAGUACUCCUCUCCGAUCCGGCUUACAAAUACGCACCACCCCAGUAACCAGCUCCAAGCCACAAGCUUUUGCAUCUCCGAGCUCUCAGCCCUCCAACACUUCCCCA
rnacentral:lncRNA from 1 species